ACAACCCUAUGCGGUGGAUCACUUGGCUCGCGAGUCGAUGAAGAGCGCAGCAAACUGCGUGAAUUAAUGUGAUUUGCAGGACACAUUGAUCAUCGAUAUCUUGAACGCAUAUUGCGGUUAUGGAUCGCUUCCAUGACCACGCCUGU
rnacentral:rRNA from 1 species